rnacentral:rRNA from 1 species
UACACACCGCCCGUCACAUCACGAAAGCCGGUUGCACUAGAAGUCGGUGGGCUAACCCGCAAGGGAGGCAGCCGCCUAAAGUGUGAUCGGUAAUUGGGGUG